rnacentral:rRNA from 1 species
GUGCCAGCCGCCGCGGUAAUACGUAGGGGGCAAGCGUUAUCCGGAUUUACUGGGUGUAAAGGGAGCGCAGACGGCGAAGCAAGUCUGAAGUGAAAUGCAUGGGCUCAACCCAUGAAUUGCUUUGGAAACUGUUUGGCUUGAGUGUCGGAGGGGUAGCGGAAUUCCUAGUGUAGCGGUGAAAUGCGUAGAUAUUAGGAGGAACACCGGAGGCGAAGGCGGCUUACUGGACGACAACUGACGUUGAGGCUCGAAGGCGUGGGGAGCAAACAGGAUUAGAUACCCUGGUAGUCCACGCAGUAAACGAUGAAUACUUGGUGUCGGGGAGGUAAACUUUUCGGUGCCGCAAGCAAACGCAUUAAGUAUUCCACCUGGGGAGUACGUUCGCAAGAAUGAAACUCAAUUGAAUUGACGG